rnacentral:rRNA from 1 species
CACACCGCCCGUCACGUCAUGAAAGCUGGCAACACCUGAAGUCGGUGAGCCAACCCGCAAGGGGGGCAGCCGCCGAGGGUGGGGCUGGUGAUUGGGACG